CCUACGGGGGGCAGCAGUAGGGAAUUUUCGUCAAUGGGGGGAACCCUGAACGAGCAAUGCCGCGUGAGUGAAGAAGGUCUUCGGAUCGUAAAGCUCUGUUGUAAGAGAAAAACGGGUAUCAUCGGGAAUGAUGAUAUCUUGAUGGUAUCUUACAAGAAAGCCACGGCUAACUACGUGCCAGCCGCCGCGGUAAUACGUAGGUGGCAAGGUUUAUCCGGAAUGGUUGGGCGUAAGGGGUGCGUGGGCGGCAAAAUAAGUCUGAAGUAAAAGGCGUUGGCUCAACCAAAGUAAGCUUUGGAAACUGUCAAGCUAGCGUGCAGGAGAGGUUAGUGGAAUUCCAUGUGUAGCGGUAAAAUGCGUAGAUAUAUGGAGGAACACCAGUGGCGAAGGCGGCUAACUGGCCUGUAACGGACGCUGAGGCACGAAAGCGUGGGGAGCAAAUAGGAUUAGAUACCCGAGUAGUC
rnacentral:rRNA from 1 species